rnacentral:tRNA from 1 species
GGAGGAGUCGCAUAGUUGGCCCAUUGCGGGAGUUUGCUAAAUUCCUGAGUAGAAAUACUCGCGCAGGUUCGAAUCCUGUCUCCUCCG